AGUUGUAAAAUCCGUCGCGAGAUAAUGCGAGACUAGACUUGCGGUUGCCGGCUUGGCUGAAAUGGACGACAGACGGGACGGCCUGGCGAUUUAUAUUUUCUCUUCAUCUCUACUCUGACCUGGACCAAUUCCUGGACCAUUUAUAGGCUACAUAUUCUGCAGUACGCCGAAGCAGAGGAAAUGGCAGCGGGUAGGAUUGAGAGUCGCAGCAUGCAAUACUGGGGAACCAGAAGGAGUCCCAAUGGAACCGCUUCACAUGCUGAUGUACAAGGAACUUAAGCUGGGCUUCUAGUAGUUUUCUUUGCUCCAGGCCAUGGAGGAGUA